GCAGCCUGAGGUUCCCAUCAUGAGUUUCAGGAAGGGAAAUUCAUGGAGGAAGUUCACCUCUGGAAGGGUUGUAGAUGAGCAUGAGAGUGUGGAGCAGAGUCGGCGAGCGCAAGCUGAGCCCAUCAACCUGGACAGCUGUCUCCGUUCUUUCACCAGUGACGAAGAGCUAGGGGAAAAUGAGAUGUACUACUGUUCCAAGUGUAAGACCCACUGCUUAGCAACAAAGAAGCUGGAUCUCUGGAGUCUUCCACCCUUUCUGAUUAUUCACCUUAAGCGAUUUCAAUUUGUAAAUGAUCAGUGGAUAAAAUCACAGAAAAUUGUC
rnacentral:sRNA from 1 species